rnacentral:lncRNA from 1 species
CUUACAACGAAGGGGAUUACUACAACAGAGGUCUGUUUCUUAUAAAUUUUUGGAAUAAUGAAGAAGAAUAGACCUACAGAAUAGAAGAAUAGAUCAUAUAUAUGCAUCGUACAAUGCCCUGAGCAAGGCAGCAGCAUAGUAGUCAUAACUGAAGGAUGAUUACAGUACUCCUGCAUUUCCACACAAAGGCUUUCUGUAAAUGUAAACAGCACUGAACAAAACAGUUCCGCAGCCCAUUUUGAUGUCAAUAUAAUUGACUGCAGCAGAGUUGGAAACAGGAAAGAACAUGCAUAUAUACAUAUACUUCCCCCUACACCGCAGACUUCAUGAUACACGAAGAUAGGAAGAUUCGCUUUCAAAAAUGAUGCACUU